UUUUAGCAUGCUACACCAGAAAUGAAUGAAAACAAGCAAUGAUAUAUUCAAAACAUAGGUAGGAUGCUGCUACUGGUUGUAAUACAGAUUUUCAAGAAGAGCCAUAUCGUCAAAACAUGUAUCUGCUUUGGAAAAGAAGAAAUCCUAAGAUUCCCCCAUCUCCACGCCCGAAAAGAUGCUUUCAAGCAAAGCCAAAAAUCGAUCAAGAAAAAUUCUCCAUCAAAGUCUGUAUUUCAAAAUCCUUAGCAUUGUUUAUAAUUUGAGCAGCCUGAGUCUUAAAAAAAAAAAUCUCAUAAAGAGAUCCAUAAAGAGAUGCUUCUUGUGUUUGUGGUGUGUAUAAAAUAAGAUGACACUGGGGAUUUUUAGUCAGGAAGGUGUUCAAAAUUCUAACCUCUGAAGUAAGCUCUUGCAGGGGAAGCUUCAACAGGGGGAGAGGUACACUCUUCUGAAUCCACUAAGGUUAUUUUGUGACCAUACCUCAUAAGCAAAUCUCCCAUCCUUUCUCUUAUCCCCCUGGUCCAGCAAAAAAACAAAAACAAAAACAAAAACAAAAAAAAAAAACAGAAGGAAUGGUGCCCAAGUGUAUGAGCUCGAAUCAGAAACUCAGCUUAAAAAUAAAUGCAGAAUUUCAGAUGAGAAAAACCUCUUCUCUUUCUGUAUGGUAGAAAGGAUUUUAGGGGUCAAGAAGAGAAUUUUAUAGCCAAGAGUAAAACUAUUGGAUCUAUCAGUCUUUUCUCUCUACCAAACCUUUCCCUUAUUCCCCACCCCCCCACCCCCUCUUCCAGAAGCAGCUAGUACUCCACAUUUCUUUUUCCAGCCAAAGAAACCGGUUCUGCAGAAAACUUUCUGGGAAAUUCUCCAAGAAAAACAGAAUCAAUGUAAGGAAAUGAACAUCUAC